rnacentral:rRNA from 1 species
GAUGAACGCUGGCGGUGUGCCUAAUACAUGCAAGUCGAGCGAACAGACGAGGAGCUUGCUCCUCUGACGUUAGCGGCGGACGGGUGAGUAACACGUGGAUAACCUACCUAUAAGACUGGGAUAACUUCGGGAAACCGGAGCUAAUACCGGAUAAUAUAUUGAACCGCAUGGUUCAAUAGUGAAAGACGGUUUUGCUGUCACUUAUAGAUGGAUCCGCGCCGCAUUAGCUAGUUGGUAAGGUAACGGCUUACCAAGGCAACGAUGCGUAGCCGACCUGAGAGGGUGAUCGGCCACACUGGAACUGAGACACGGCCCAGACUCCUACGGGAGGCAGCAGUAGCGAAUCUUCCGCAAGAGGCGAAAGCCUGACGGAGCAACGCCGCGUGAGUGAUGAAGGUCUUCGGAUCGUAAAACUCUGUUAUUAGGGAAGAACAAAUGUGUAAGUAACUAUGCACGUCUUGACGGUACCUAAUCAGAAAGCCACGGCUAACUACGUGC